AGCUGAAUUAGAUGGAACUGC
rnacentral:piRNA from 1 species